UCCUCCACCGCCUUAUGAAUAUAAAUCACCACCACCUCCGGUUAAGUCUCCUCCACCACCGUAUUACUAUCAUUCACCGCCGCCGCCAGUGAAAUCCCCUCCCCCUCCUUAUGUUUACAGCUCUCCUCCUCCUCCGGUGAAGUCCCCUCCUCCCCCAUACUACUACCAUUCACCGCCUCCUCCGGUGAAGUCUCCUCCUCCUCCAUACUACUACCAUUCACCACCUCCUCCGGUGAAAUCCCCACCACCACCAUAUUACUACCAUUCACCACCUCCUCCGGUGAAAUCCCCACCACCACCAUACUACUACCAUUCACCUCCUCCUCCUGUGAAAUCUCCUCCUCCUCCAUAUUAUUACCACUCCCCACCUCCUCCGGUGAAAUCCCCACCACCACCAUACCUUUACAGCUCUCCACCAC
rnacentral:lncRNA from 1 species